GACGAACGCUGGCGGCGUGCCUAAUACAUGCAAGUAGGACGCAGUUGCGAACGGGUGAGUACCGCGUAGGUAACUACCUAUUAGAGGGGGAUAACUAUUGGAAACGAUAGCUAAUACCGCAUACUAGUAGAUGGACCUGCGUUGUAUUGGCUAGUAGGUAGGGUAAUUGCCUACCUAGGCAACGAUACAUAGCCGACCGUGGAUGGUGAACGGCAACACUUGGACUGGUACACGGCCCAGACUCCUACGGGAGGCAGCAGUAGGGAAUCAUCGGCAAUGGGGGGAACCCUGACCGAGCAACGCCGCGUGAGUGAAAAAGGUUUUCGGAUCGUAAAUCUCUGUUAUUAAGGAAGCGGUACUUACCCAGAAAGGGACGGCUAACUACGUGCCAGCAGCCGCGGUAAUAC
rnacentral:rRNA from 1 species